GAGACAUUAGCUCAUCCGGAUAGAGCAACAGCCUUCUAAGCUGUAGGUGGGCCGUUCGAGUCGGCCAUGUCUCA
rnacentral:tRNA from 1 species